rnacentral:rRNA from 1 species
GUGGGGAAUCUUCCGCAAUGGACGAAAGUCUGACGGAGCAACGCCGCGUGAGUGAAGAAGGUUUUCGGAUCGUAAAGCUCUUUCGUUAGGGACGAACGUGCUCUUUGUGAAUAAUGAGGAGUAAUGACGGUACCUAAAUAAGAAGCCACGGCUAACUACGUGCCAGCAGCCGCGGUAAUACGUAGGUGGCAAGCGUUGUCCGGAAUUAUUGGGCGUAAAGCGCGCUCAGGCGGGAUAUCAAGUCUGUCUUAAAAGUGCGAGGCUCAACCUCGUGAGGGGACAGAAACUGGUAUUCUUGAGUGUCGGAGAGGAAAGUGGAAUUCCAAGUGUAGCGGUGAAAUGCGUAGAGAUUUGGAAGAACACCAGUGGCGAAGGCGACUUUCUGGACGAUGUCUGACGCUGAGGCGCGAAAGCUAGGGGAGCGAACGGGAUUAGAAACCCCGGUAGUCC